CAUCUAUGAGUUGUUCAAUGAAGACAAGAAGGCAGGGCCCUUAUCAAAGAGAAACUGGGGCGUAUUUUUCACCAAUGGCACUGCAGUUUAUACUCUUGGUUUGAGUACUUCCAAUCGAAUUACUGGAAAUUCUUCGGUAACCUUCUGUGCUGCUAAACAAAAUGCUGAUUCUGCAAAGUUGCAAGAAGGGCUGAACUGGGCUUGUGGGCAAGGUGGGGCUAACUGCACUCCUAUCCAACAAGGACACCCUUGUUAUCUUCCUAAUACUUACCAGAACCAUGCAUCAUAUGCUUAUAAUGAUUAUUAUCAAAAAAUGCAUAGCACUGGAGGAACAUGCGACUUUGAUGGUACUGCCACAACA
rnacentral:misc_RNA from 1 species